GUAUGUACGAGUAUACAUGUGUAUGAAGUGUAUUGCAUAAGUUCGAUUUAUUUUGUUGGUAACAAAAGAGGAAAAACCAAUGCAAAAUUUAAACCCAAAACUAAUGAUAUUCAAAGCCAAUGACGAGAAACAACAACAAUAAAUGUGCUGAUGUGCUGAAAGCCGCAAAGAGAACGACAACCAGAUGGAAACAAUUUGAUUCCUUUCAAAUGUUUAGCUAACACAAUACCAACAAUAAUCGAUGGAAAAUUCAUUGUAAAAAAGUAUAAAAGCAACACGUAAUGGGGUGGCAGAUGAACAAUUGCUAAAACGAACAGUUACGAUCUGUGUAAAUGUGAACAUAAUGAGCAAAAAACGAUAUAGCAGGUAUACAAUAAUGGCCGAAUGAAACCAAAACUAAAGUAAUGAACAACUUACCGCAAGGCGACAAAGCAAAUACAAAA